AAAUAAUUUUUUUUUUUGUGUUCAACAUUUUCUUUCUCAGAAUGUUGUUCAACAUUUUCUGUCUCAGUAGGGUGUACAACAUUUUCUUUGUCAGUUAGCAGUUUUGAGUAAAAUUGUCUCUUUUUCGAUCACUGUGAUUUUCCCUACUCUCAUUGAUAAUAAUUGUGAUAUCGAAAAAUCUAUAUUUUUCAUUGAUAUAGCGAUGGAUUCAAACAAGCUCACACACACACACACACACACACACACACACACACACACACACACACACACACACACACACACACACACACACACACAGACACACUCGCUCAAUUACACAUCAUAAGCAUUUAAGACAUUUGAUAUUUAUAUCAAUCAGUUAAAGAAACGCUUUUAAAUAUAGUUUUUUGGUCUCUUACAAAUAUUAGAUACAAAAGACAGCUUUAGUUAAAGUGUGAUUGUUCUAUCGUCGUUGUUUUUAACAAUGGCGCUCAUGUUUUACGGCUCAUUUAGUCCAUACACACACCCAUAUGCUCUGUUAUGUCACUAUAUCAUUUUUAUGUGCCACUUCACCACAGUCAUGCGUACUGUGCUUUGGCUGACGGCACAACAGGCAGACGGUGUGUUGGAGCUGGCUGAAGCCCAGGUCAGGCCUGGUGGAGAACGGGUUUUGUCUUGUCACGUCUUAUCUAGCUGACCCAGUGGGCACUCUGAACACUUACCCACCUCCAGAUAGAAGGUUCUGCUCUACAUGCUUGGUGGAGAUCUCAGAGAGGGAGGCUGAUAGAGGAAGAGAGGCACGUCGAAGGCAAGAGGGAGAGACACAGGGUGCAGGGGGAAGAGCUGCGGAAACAGGGAUUGUUCAGUCUGGCAGAGGGUGCAUGUUGCCGUUAUUGUGGGAAGGAGUGGAAGAUGUCUUGUGUUUUGUUUACGGCAGAGUGGCGAAUGAUGCAAUGGGGAAUCUCAGGGCUCACCAUCAGUGUCGGAAGCAAUAGAGCCAGCCAGCCAGCCAGCCAGACAGACUUGGCUAUAGCAAGCUAGCUAGCAAGCUAACUAUUAGCCAAAUCCACGGAAGCCGUCUCAUUGGCAAAGCAUAACAAAUAUUGGUCGUAUCAGCCAAACCACACACAACCUUUUUCACGGGCCUCGAACCCUAGAAAGACCACAACCCGGCCAGCAUGACACGGUGCCUUCCUCCCGGACAAAGCCCUGUGGAGGGUAGCAGCCAGGAGCCUCUGGAGGAGCAAGGGGGGGGGGUAGAGGUGUGGGCCCCAGCACAGCCCACGUGGCUAGGGGGUCACCUAAGUGAGCAGCACAUUAUUUUCGGCGCAUCACUUUUAGCGUUUUAUUACCGCGAGUGACUGAUGUUAUUAGGGAGAUAGUGAUCUGUUGGCCCCGGGACCUGAGUGUGGUGCCAGGAAGCCACACGCUAGCGGGGUCCGUCCCUCUGGCUCGGCUGCUGUAAACACACGCAGAAUGGUGCUUCUUCACUCAGAGCAGGGUUAUUAUUAUUCGUUUUUUGUCUUCUUUUUUCUCCUCUUUGUGUGUAAUAUUAAUGUGGCUUCUGUGGAAAUUCCUGCUUGGCGACAGCGACCAGCGCCGUACCAUCUGCGGAGAGUUAAUUUCGCCUGCUUUACAUCAUCGCAGCCUAUUUGAUUUAUAGCCUCGCUCUGUUUCGGCUUAAAUCAGCCCACUCUGCUGACUUAUUGAAAAGGAGAAAAAUGAAAUAAAAUAAAAUCACGGCGACUCAAAUCGCUGUCCAAGGUUAGCUCAGUGCACUCCAUCUUACUCAUAUUCUGGAUCCCUUUCGCCGCAAAAAAGAUUUGUACCAGAAAAGAACCCUCUAUAUUUUCAUACAAAGCGUAAUCGCGAAAAGAUGUUUUGAGUUUGUUUCCAAUCGGAAUACAGGAAAUUUGCAGUCAUUCGGAGGGAGGUGUGAAAUGUGCUCUCUGUGCCUAUUCCUACCACCGCCUCACCCCAGACACGGCGCCUCCUGCUGCCAGAUCCCCCUCCCGCUCCCCUCCUCGCCGGCAGAGACCGUCACGGCUUGGACGCCACUGUGAGAAAAGACGGGGCUCGCGAAAGAAGGAGAGGCAGAAAAAAAGGGAGAGAGAGAUAGAGAAAAAAAAAGGAGAACCAUUCUUGAGCUCCCUGUCCUUACAUCCAGAGAACCCGGCAAGUGAAAAUCCUUGUAUCUUUCCUGACCAGGAAAGUCCCCUUGAUUUAGAUUUACGUUCACGAAUGUACAGAUGGAAAGAUGUAUGGAUUUGAGAGAGAGAGGAAGAGAGUGAGAGGGAGGAAGAGAGAGAGAGAGAGAGAGAGAGAGAGAGAGAGAGAGAGAGAGAGAGAGAGAGAGGGAGCCCCUCUGUUGGUCAUGGAUGACAUGAUGGAAGGUGCUGGAGCUGUUGAGUUGUGGAGGGAGAGGCUGAUGGACUCACCAGGCCUCCGCUCCCACUUUCACCAAAUUUCCCCCAAAAAUGAUCUGUUGUUAAUUUCAGCCAUAAAGUUGCCAAAGCUGAGUGGACUGGGUGUGUGCGUGUGUGUGUGUGUGUGUGAGGUAGAUGCUUGUCAGUUCAUCUUCAGAUUGUAGAUGCAUAGGAUAACAACACGGAGAGAGAGAAGAGGGUUGAAAUUCAAGUCUUGUUUUUAGCAGCACCAGCAUCGCUGAUUUAAAGUUCCCUUCAUCUCUUUUUUCCGCUCUGCCGAACAUUAAAACGCAAUCUUGCUCUUUUCAAUGUUGUGUUUCAAUAUUGUGCGGGGUGCGCAGCAAAUUACUUCUUUACUUUUCUUCAAAAGCCCAAUGUUUAAGCUUUUUCCAUCCAGCUACUACACACAGCUAAUACACAAUGUGAUAGAUAUUUAUGUGAUGUAUAGAACAGCGUACAGAUCAUGCAGGGUGGGUCAGGGACACCACAUCACAGAGUUUAAUCCAGCUCUCUGCUCGGGUUCAGAGGAGACAACUCUGGGCAUUAGGAGACCAGAGCAUUUAGACGGCCAAGAGGGCUCUGGACCAAACAUGAAUUUUCAGUCACACACACACACACACAUACACACAUGCACAGAAACACACACACAUGCACACACACACACACACACACACACACACACACACACACACACACACACACACACACACACACACACACACACACACACACACACACACAUGCCUUCAAACGCACACACACACACACACACACACACACACACACACACACACACACACACACACACACACACACACACACACACACACAAACACAAACACAAACACAAUCACUUGUAUGGAAUUAUGAUACUAGCAGACUUCAUAAGAUAAUUAUUAUUAUUGUAAUACAUAGAAAACCUCCAGGAGGGCAAUUCACUGUUUACAGUGUUGGUAUGUUGGGUGUGGUAUUAAACUCUGUUAUCAAACUAUUAAACACUGACCUUUUGUUUGGGCGUCUCUGUCCUUAACAUACACAAUGUUUAGGAGAGAGACCUGUGCUUCUGUGUGUAGAGCUCCAGUGAUGGAGAGACGUGGUAAACACGUUAUUCGAAACAGAGAAGUUUCUUCUGUCAAGCUGAAAACAAAGGUUUUGUCGUUAGAUCGUUCUACUUUUGCAUUGAAAGGAGCUGGGAACUGGAUUUCUUUAAGGUUUAUUUAUUUAUUUUGUUAUUUUAAAGAGGUGUUAUUUGGUGAUAAACAUUAAACACGAGACGUUGCUAAGCUAUUAAAAAUCCCCACAGACGGGAGUUUGGCUCAUUUUCCACAGACUUUUUUAUUUCUUUGACACGAGAGAGAGAUCAUAUAACCCUGUAUAAAAUAAUAAGUGCUGCACAUGUUUUCUUCAUUUGCUUUAGUUUUUGCCAUGUGCUAUUCACCUUGGAUACAACACUCAUUAUAUUGAAUUAUGGCUUCCUUGACAGAAUAGGAAUUUCUAAAGCUCUCGAGUGAAGGUCAUAUCAACCACAUAUCUCUGCAGCCAAAUGUACUUUUUUUAUAAUUUUGCCCAACCUAAUUAAUGUGCUUUUUAAUUUGUAUUCAUUUUAUGCAUAACUUUUUGAUUUAAAUAUCAAUAAAAUGUUAGAAUUAGUAUUUAAAAAAUCCUUAUUAUUUAUAUUAUAGUUAUUAAUAUCCUGUUAUUAUGUAACAGUACUUUGCAGAGCCUAAAAUCCUGUUUGGAUUUAAUGACACAAUUAAAGGUAUUAGUGAAAGUCAAAUAAAAAUGGGCGUACGCAAAGCACACAGCAACAAACAAAAACCUUCAUUAGCAGAGCUAAAUAGAAUAUUUAGUGACUAUUAUUUUGUAAAAAAAACUGAACAAUAUUGGGAAGACGGUUAAAGUAGCGUGAAAGGGGCAGGGAGAAGGUGUGAAGAGAAAGGUAAUUCAGUGACAGUAAGAGUGUAGGGGUGGGGAUUGUCUGUAUUAAUACUGUGUCUUCCCAGUGCCUGGUCCCUUUUUAGGCUUAUGUAAUGGUGCCAACUGUGAAAUGUGUUUGUCCCCAAAAACCAUAUACACACUCUGGAGGGUUCCCCCGAACUCGGGGAGUGAGUGAGUGAGAGUGAGAGCGUGUGAGUGUUUGUGAGGGAGAGGGAGAGGAGGAGUAGUGUGGAGAGUGGUGGCCGGGGCUAGCAGACAGGCCAGCCAGACAGUGCUGAGAGCCAGGGAACAUGGCUUAUUCACCGGGCUACACUCACAGCAAGGCCCUGGCAUCUGCUGCUAAGUCUGGCUAACAACGCCAUUCAGCGUCGGAGAAUGAGAGUCAUGGUGCUGAGCCCUUUCUAUCCACAUUCAAUCACAGUUCUUCUGUUGGGGAUCUUUUUCAUUAUUUUUUUCAAAUGGUCAUUUAUUUAUUUAUUUUUCUUGCUUAUUUUUCUCACGUUAAAGAGGCGGAAAAAGCUAGCUAAACACCACUUACCGCAGAAAAAUAUUUGCAAAUAUAUAAAAUCAAACAAUUAAUUAUUUUUCAGCCCGCGGUGAAAGGAAUUGAUAUGUGGGGGCGUUCCGUAAAUACAAAAAGGAAAAAAAGUUUCAGUU